rnacentral:rRNA from 1 species
CCUACGGGGGGCAGCAGUGAGGAAUAUUGGUCAAUGGUCGGGAGACUGAACCAGCCAAGCCGCGUGAGGGAUGAAGGUACAGAGUAUCGUAAACCUCUUUUGUCAGGGAACAAAGGCGGGGACGUGUCCCCGGAGGAGUGUACCUGAAGAAAAAGCAUCGGCUAACUCCGUGCCAGCAGCCGCGGUAAUACGGAGGAUGCGAGCGUUAUCCGGAUUUAUUGGGUUAAAAGGGUGCGCAGGCGGUCUGUUAAGUCAGCGGGAAAAGCCCGGGGCCAAACCCCGGCCCGCCGUUGAAACUGGCUGUCUCGAGUUGGAGAGAAGUAUGCGGAAUGCGCGGUGUAGCGGUGAAAUGCAUAGAUAUCGCGAAGAACUCCGAUGGCGAAGGCAGCAUGCCGGCUCCACACUGACGCUGAGGCACGAAAGCGUGGGUAUCGAACAGGAUUAGAUACCCGGGUAGUC